rnacentral:rRNA from 1 species
UACGGAGGGUGCAAGCGUUAUCCGGAUUUAUUGGGUUUAAAGGGUGCGCAGGUUGUUUGAUAAGUCAGUGGUGAAAGUCUGUCGCUUAACGGUAGGAUUGCCAUUGAUACUGUUGGACUUGAAUAUGGAUGAGGUAGGCGGAAUGUGUAGUGUAGCGGUGAAAUGCAUAGAUAUUACACAGAACACCGAUUGCGAAGGCAGCUUACUAAUCCAUCAUUGACGCUGAGGCACGAAAGCGUGGGGAUCAAACAGGA